GGAAUCUUCCACAAUGGACGAAAGUCUGAUGGAGCAACGCCGCGUGAGUGAAGAAGGUUUUCGGAUCGUAAAACUCUGUUGCUGGAGAAGAACGUAUUUGAUAGUAACUGAUCAGGUAGUGACGGUAUCCAACCAGAAAGCCACGGCUAACUACGUGCCAUCAGCCGCGGUAAUACGUAGGUGGCAAGCGUUGUCCGGAUUUAUUGGGCGUAAAGCGAGCGCAGGCGGUUUGAUAAGUCUGAUGUGAAAGCCUUUGGCUUAACCAAAGAAGUGCAUCGGAAACUGUCAGACUUGAGUGCAGAAGAGGACAGUGGAACUCCAUGUGUAGCGGUGGAAUGCGUAGAUAUAUGGAAGAACACCAGUGGCGAAGGCGGCUGUCUGGUCUGCAACUGACGCUGAGGCUCGAAAGCAUGGGUAGCGAACA
rnacentral:rRNA from 1 species